rnacentral:misc_RNA from 1 species
AAGUCGUAACAAGGUUUCCGUAGGUGAACCUGCGGAAGGAUCAUUAACGAGUAACUGAACAGGUUGUAGCUGGCCUCUAGGGGCAUGUGCACGCCUGGCUCAUCCACUCUUCAACCUCUGUGCACCUGUUGUAGGUCGGUGGAAGGGCAAAGUAGAAAGUGAGGUCUCAGGACUUUGCUUACUCUCUGCUUGGAAGCCUUCCUAUGUUUCAUUACAAACGCUUCAGUUUAAGAAUGUAAUCUCUGCGUAUAACGCAUCUAUAUACAACUUUCAGCAACGGAUCUCUUGGCUCUC